rnacentral:snoRNA from 1 species
GUUCAACAAAAGACAUAUCCAGGGUGCAGUGACUAUAAGCAACAGUCUCCGUGGUAGUAUUUUCAUCCUGUUGCUCCUGUGGGCUACCUUAAGGGAACUUGAAGACAACU